AGCUGAGCUUCUAGUAAGCUUUCUAGUUUCAACUGCUGUAGACAUAUCAAUGUUGUCUUAUGGACAUACAUAUUUCUAAUGAUCAGAAAAGUGAAAAUGAGAGUAUUGCUGGAAGUGAAUAAGUAUCUACUACUCUUCUGUAGUGCAUAGAGGGAUCAGAGGAGGAUUGCCUUGUCCUGCCUGAGAGUGAAGAGAACUGCCUGGCGGGAGGUAAAUGCAUCUCAAAGCCUUGGCUAUCUUGGAAUACAGUGAAGUGUCUUCCAAACCGAGGUCUGUGGUAGACCUGUGGUAGAAGGAUUUGAGUAACAGUUUUCCAUGAUGGUAAUGAAAGCAGCUCUAAAGUCUGAGCAGCACAAAGUGAAUAUGAAAAGCCCUGGGGUGAAGAUUGAAGAUCGGUUGGAAUUUUAACUUCUGUGCCAAUGAAUUCAAAAAAUGAAAUCAGAGCAAGAAUGGAGACUUUCUUUUUUUAAAGGCAGCUUUAAAAAGUUCAUGAUUAAAGAUUAACUUCCAGGCUCUUGUCAAUAGUUCCAAAAUUAAAUUUGUCACAACGCUUUAUGUAACGCUAAUGAUAAGCUAUUUAUUAUGUGGAAAAUGUCAGUUUAUU